CUUUAUGAUGCUUUUCUAUUUCUAUUGAAAUCACUCGAGCAUCAAAUCCUCGUUUUCUGAGUCACUUCCGGUGGAGAAAAGAAUAAAACCACUGACUUUUAAGGCUUUAAGGUUUAGAAACAGAGCUCAGAUCAGCUCCGGUGUCCAGUGAAAUGAGUUUGUUUGUUUGUUUGCAUGCGUGUCGUCUGCAGGGGAAGCAGAUGCAGACGCAGAUACUGAAGCAGAGUCGACCGCUGUACCAGAGGAACCCGUUGAACCCGCUGUCGCUGUGAAAGAUAAUUCUGCAGGAUUCGAUCUUUCUGAUGCGCUCGAAAAGGAACUACAACCAGAGGAUGCAGUAAAGACUGCAUUGGGAGAUGCAGACCAGCACAGCUCAGGUCAAGGCAGAGCUCGCAGCGCUGGAGCAGUUUCUGAGCCAAACGACAGCGGAUCUGGUACGGUUGUUGGUGUUGUUUGUGGGAUUGCAGUAGCAGCUGUUGGUGCCAUAGCCGGAUACUUCACCUAUCAGAAGAAGAAACUGUGCUUCAAGGUCCAGAGAGGUGACCCAGAGAGCGCCAAAGAAGAGAACGGCACACAGAGCCAUGAGGGUGAGCCAUUCACUGCUCAUUUUC